AUUACCCAAUCCGGACACAGGGAGGUAGUGACAAGAAAUAACAAUACAGGGCAAUUGUCUUGUAAUUGGAAUGAUGGUGACGUAAAAUCUCACCAGAGUAACAAUUGGAGGGCAAGUCUGGUGCCAGCAGCCGCGGUAAUUCCAGCUCCAAUAGCGUAUAUUAAACUUGUUGCAGUUAAAAAGCUCGUAGUUGAAUUUCUGCGUUGCCCGACUCGGCUACUUGCCUUGUCUGGUUUCGCUUUUGGGGUUUUCCCCUUUUUACUUUGAGAAAAUUAGAGUGUUUCAAGCAGACUUGUGUCUUGAAUACUUCAGCAUGGAAUAAUAAAGUAGGACUUUGGUUCUAUUUUGUUGGUUUGUGAACCUUAGUAAUGGUUAAUAGGAACGGUUGGGGGCAUUCGUAUUUAA
rnacentral:rRNA from 1 species